UCCUUUGUGGCUACAGAAGACAGCCUUUUCUGAGACCACUGCAAGUCAGACAUGGGGAACGAGUGGGCAACAGCGUGCCUCUGAGCCGGGAGGACUUGCUUCAUCACGGCUGUCAGUGUCUGCAGAAGGAGCAGCAGUAGCAGCUAACGAAGGCACUGUCAGCUGGGCAUACGUAAAUGUAGGAAAUGAAGGUUCAAGUUCCUGAUCCGGUGAGUAAGAGGAUGUACAUGACUUGUUUUAAAUGGU
rnacentral:lncRNA from 1 species